rnacentral:rRNA from 1 species
GGAUCCAGACUUUGAUUCUGGCUCAGGAUGAACGCUAGCUACAGGCUUAACACAUGCAAGUCGAGGGGCAGCGGGAUUGAAGCUUGCUUCAAUUGCCGGCGACCGGCGCACGGGUGAGUAACGCGUAUCCAACCUUCCGUACACUCAGGGAUAGCCUUUCGAAAGAAAGAUUAAUACCUGAUAGUAUCUUAAGCACACAUGUAAUUAAGAUUAAAGAUUUAUCGGUGUACGAUGGGGAUGCGUUCCAUUAGGUAGUAGGCGGGGUAACGGCCCACCUAGCCAACGAUGGAUAGGGGUUCUGAGAGGAAGGUCCCCCACAUUGGAACUGAGACACGGUCCAAACUCCUACGGGAGGCAGCAGUGAGGAAUAUUGGUCAAUGGACGAGAGUCUGAACCAGCCAAGUAGCGUGAAGGAUGAAGGUCCUACGGAUUGUAAACUUCUUUUAUAAGGGAAUAAACCCUCCCACGUGUGGGAGCUUGUAUGUACCUUAUGAAUAAGCAUCGGCUAACUCCGUGCCAGCAGCCGCGGUAAUACGGAGGAUGCGAGCGUUAUCCGGAUUUAUUGGGUUUAAAGGGAGCGCAGACGGGUCGUUAAGUCAGCUGUGAAAGUUUGGGGCUCAACCUUAAAAUUGCAGUUGAUACUGGCGUCCUUGAGUGCGGUUGAGGUGUGCGGAAUUCGUGGUGUAGCGGUGAAAUGCUUAGAUAUCACGAAGAACUCCGAUUGCGAAGGCAGCACACUAAUCCGUAACUGACGUUCAUGCUCGAAAGUGUGGGUAUCAAACAGGAUUAGAUACCCUGGUAGUCCACACGGUAAACGAUGGAUACUCGCUGUUGGCGAUAUACUGUCAGCGGCUUAGCGAAAGCGUUAAGUAUCCCACCUGGGGAGUACGCCGGCAACGGUGCAACUCAAAUGAAUUGACGG